rnacentral:lncRNA from 1 species
AACAUACACAUGAUAUGAGACAGUUCAUGCUUGGUCUCUUCAGGUGCUCAUGCUCCCUGAAUCCAGAAAUCAACAACCUGGCACCUUUGUAUUCUUCAAAACUCAUCUCGGUAAUUCUCCUGCUGUUCCCUCCCGAAACUUGCCACCUUCACUCAUCUUACUGUUCAUCUCCUAGCAAGUGAUGAUCAAAGAUUUUUCUUCUUUUUUGCUUUGAAAAAGACACCAGCACUGUAAGAAGUUUAUUCGUACAAAUCACAAGCUGCCAACCCACACAAAAGAGAGAAAAAUGUGAGUUGAAGGAUUACCUUUAGGAGGGAGUGUGCAUUACGAUUGUCACUGUUAUGAAAUUUGAAAUGGUCUCUGUUUUUCAUCAAACAUUUUUUAUGAUCGAACAGUAUUACUGUAUGAAGAUGCGCUGACUAAACCUUUUCCACGACUGAAGAUGUGGUAAUUAAACUUCUCUCAUCCUUCU